CUACGGGCUGCUGCAGUGAGGAAUAUUGCACAAUGGGGGGAACCCUGAUGCAGCAACGCCGCGUGGAGGAUGACGCAUUUCGGUGUGUAAACUCCUUUUAUAUGUCAAGAAAAUGACGGUAGCAUAUGAAUAAGCACCGGCUAACUCCGUGCCAGCAGCCGCGGUAAUACGGAGGGUGCAAGCGUUACUCGGAAUCACUGGGCGUAAAGGACGCGUAGGCGGGCUUGUAAGUCAGGUGUGAAAUCCUACAGCUGAACUGUAGAACUGCACUUGAAACUACGAGCCUAGAGUAUGGGAGGGGGAGAUGGAAUUAGUGGUGUAGGGGUAAAAUCCGUAGAUAUCACUAGGAAUACCUAAAGCGAAGGCGAUCUCCUGGAACAUAACUGACGCUAAGGCGUGAAAGCGUGGGGAGCAAACAGGAUUAGAUACCCGCGUAGUC
rnacentral:rRNA from 1 species